rnacentral:rRNA from 1 species
GGCCAGACUCCUACGGGAGGCAGCAGUGGGGAAUAUUGCACAAUGGGGGAAACCCUGAUGCAGCGACGCCGCGUGAGUGAAGAAGUAUUUCGGUAUGUAAAGCUCUAUCAGCAGGGAAGAAAAUGACGGUACCUGACUAAGAAGCCCCGGCUAACUACGUGCCAGCAGCCGCGGUAAUACGUAGGGGGCAAGCGUUAUCCGGAUUUACUGGGUGUAAAGGGGGCGCAGACGGCAGCGCAAGCCAGGAGUGAAAGCCCGGGGCCCAACCCCGGGACUGCUCUUGGAACUGCGCGGCUGGAGUGCAGGAGGGGCAGGCGGAAUUCCUGGUGUAGCGGUGAAAUGCGUAGAUAUCAGGAGGAACACCGGUGGCGAAGGCGGCCUGCUGGACUGCGACUGACGUUGAGGCCCGAAAGCGUGGGGAGCAAACAGGAUUAGAUACCCCCGUAU